GGACACACGGGCCCUGUGCUGUCUCAGCUGAGAGGUCCCCAUCUACUGACUCACUCGCACCUGGGGCUUCUUGGCUGGUCAUCUGGAAAGGUGAUGGGUCAUGCAUCUUCCUGACACACUGUGAAGCAGGAAGAAACAGGAACAGUAGCUCUGUGUUACACGUGAGGAGCGAGAAGCACCAACAUGGGUCUUCAUUCUGGAUUUCAUCUUCAAUAUGGAUCCACAGGCUUUAAGAACAUAACGCUUUCUAAAGAGCUCCAGCAAUGGAAACAGCUGUCAGCUCUUCCACCAAAGAUGCUCAAACCAUCACGCUGUCACAUUUAAAUAUAAGAAGCCCCCAAUAUGGAAGAAGACAUCGCUUCUGGUUACCGUCUUGUGUGUGCUAGCUCUCUUUCACUAAUGUCCACUUAAAAAAUAUACAUCAUAACUUGAGCACAGCGGCACAUGCUUUUAAUCCCAGCACCUGGGAGGCAGAGGCAGGCGGGUCCCUGAGAUUUGAGGCCAACCUGGUCUACAGAGUGAGUUCCAGGACAGCAGGGGCUAUAUAGUUAAACCAUCCAUGUUUUGAAGAAACAAGCAAGUGUAUAUUAUUUACUUAUAUUACAUAUUACAUUGUGCAUAUAUAGUAUAUAUGCAUCAUAGUAAUCUGUCCAUCCCAUACAUUGAAUGAAUUGAUAUUUCAAUCUCCCAAAAAUCUGGAGAAGAAUGUGUGUUCCUUGCUGAGCACUUAAGUGUGUUUAUGAACUGAGUAAAUCAUGCCUUGGCAAAUUA
rnacentral:lncRNA from 1 species